GACGAACGCUGGCGGCGUGCUUAACACAUGCAAGUCGAACGGAAAGGCCCUGCUUUUGUGGGGUGCUCGAAUGGCGAACGGGUGAGUAACACGUGAGUAACCUGCCCUUGACUUUGGGAUAACUUCAGGAAACUGGGGCUAAUACCGGAUAGGAGCUCCUGCUGCAUGGUGGGGGUUGGAAAGUUUCGGCGGUUGGGGAUGGACUCGCGGCUUAUCAGCUUGUUGGUGGGGUAGUGGCUUACCAAGGCUUUGACGGGUAGCCGGCCUGAGAGGGUGACCGGCCACAUUGGGACUGAGAUACGGCCCAGACUCCUACGGGAGGCAGCAGUGGGGAAUAUUGCACAAUGGGCGGAAGCCUGAUGCAGCAACGCCGCGUGCGGGAUGAUGGCCUUCGGGUUGUAAACCGCUUUCGCCUGUGACGAAGCGUGAGUGACGGUAAUGGGUAAAGAAGCACCGGCUAACUACGUG
rnacentral:rRNA from 1 species